ACAUCCUUCUAAGGAGACAUGAAUAGUGGUCAUCUUUCUGCCUUCUGCAUAACUGGCUCUGCGCUUGCAGAGGAAUUGUCCAGGAGUCCCAGACAGAGCAGAAACUGGAGGAGGUGGAUCUGAGCAGCUUGGACAUCCUUCUAAGGAGACAUUUAGAAUGCAGAAAGCUGAGGACUAUUCAUAACUGGCUGUGAGUAAGAGUGCCAAGGAAAAAGAAGUCACACGUCAGAGUCUACUGCCCUCAUGCGAUGAAAAGCGAGCGAGAGCGAUGAGACUGCAAGCCUUGUUGAUGCCACGAAAAAGCUGUCUAACUGGGAUCAGAACAGCCGCUACUGUCAGUGAGAUAAGUGACUGGUUUGGUGAGGGCUCUGCUCACGGCCCACUUGCAUCUAGGUAGGGAAACCCCGUUAGCUGGGGCUGGGUUUGUAUGAAAAGGUUCCUGACUAGCUGCGGUUAUAAGGAAGACAAGGUCCCCAUUUUCAGGGACUGCUCAGGUCUCUGGCCAGGAUCGGUGUGUCUUCUGCAGUAGACGGUUAGAUUCAGGAGGAUGACUCCAUGUGAUGAGUUGCUUGCCUUCCUCCCAUGUUUCCCUCGCUCUCUUCUCUACUGUGUUGGCCAACACACACACACACACACUCUCUCUGUCUGUCUGUCUGUCCUUGCCUCUCCUUGUGGUGUCUCCCUUCAUAGGACAUGGGCAGGUGUGCUAGGAUGCAUCCCCACAGGCUAGGUCUCGGGAGCCAUAAAGAAGUAGGAAGGGAUGAAAAUCAUGCAGGGUAGUGGGUGCGAGAGUUGAGGCAGGUACUGGAAGGCCUUGUGCACCUAUAGUGUUUUUGGCAGUGAUGACUCUUCCAUAGGUGGUUCGCUGUUCUUGCGGAGGGCUGCUCCAGGGCAGCGGAGCAUCUGCAGGAAGCAGACCUGCACGAUCUAGCUGUUUCACUUUGCAGUGGAGCUGAGGAGCUCUCUUGUAAUGUUGGAGGAGCCAGGAGCGUGUUUUUGUGAAAUGAUAUUUCUCUAUCCAGUAUCUGCAGAGUGAGGUGCCUCGUGGAGAGCAGAGAGAUGCUUCUCCUAUCCAUGGGAUGGGUCCUGGGAAAGGUCCAGCUCUGCCUGUGGCUGGCAGUGGUCUGGGAUUGUCCCUUUCCUGGAGGGCUGUAGCUCCUUACGAGUGGUGAGUAUUUUAGGCCCUGGGUAAGCUGAAGAAGAAUAAAGAAGGAGGGAGCAGCAGCCAGUGACGUGUAUCUCAGUUUUUCUUGCAUGCUCAAGUGGUGACCUAGCUUACAAGUGUUCUCUCUUUCUCUUUUCAGUCAUACUGAGAUUGGUCAGAUGAGAGAUCGGCCAACCUGUGGCAGAGACCAAAGAAGGAGCAGCCACCCAGAGCCCAUCCCUAGGGAUGGAAGCUGGACAAUGAUCUGCAGAUACCACGGAGAAAGAAGUGAAGGGUAAGAGCCCACCCCCGUUGUGAGAUGGAAAGCACCAAGAGCCGUGAGACCACAAGUGUUGUCGAUGUCGUCGAUCUGGGAGUGGAGCAGCCGUCACCACCAGUGAGAUAAGUGUCUGGUUUGGGGAGGACUCUGGUAACGGCCCACCUGCUUCCAGGCUGAGACUUGUCAUUAGCUGGGACUCGGUUUGUAGGAAAAGAUUCCUGACCUGUUGUGGUUACGAGGGAGACAAGGUCCCCAUUUUUAGGGUCUGGUCUUUUCUCGGUCCACAAACAGUGUGUCCUACGCAGCAGAAGGUUGGAUGGAGGAGGACGACUCCAGCUGUUGAGUUUCUUGACUUCCUCCCACAUUUCUUUCUCUCUCUCUCUCUCUCUCCUCUAAUGUGUUGGCCAACACACACUGUCUGUCU